GCCUCUAUAGCUCAGUUGGUAGAGCACCUGAUUUGUAAUCAGGGGGUCGCGGGUUCAAGUCCUGCUGGGGGCACCA
rnacentral:tRNA from 2 species